rnacentral:rRNA from 1 species
CCUGAUCCAGCAAUGCCGCGUGAGUGAUGAAGGCCUUCGGGUUGUAAAGCUCUUUCGCACGCGACGAUGAUGACGGUAGCGUGAGAAGAAGCCCCGGCUAACUUCGUGCCAGCAGCCGCGGUAAUACGAAGGGGGCUAGCGUUGUUCGGAAUUACUGGGCGUAAAGGGCGCGUAGGCGGUGUGUCAAGUCAGGCGUGAAAGCCCCGGGCUCAACCUGGGAACCGCGCUUGAGACUGGCACGCUAGAGUUCGGGAGAGGAUGGUGGAAUUCCCAGUGUAGAGGUGAAAUUCGUAGAUAUUGGGAAGAACACCGAUGGCGAAGGCAGCCAUCUGGACCGACACUGACGCUGAGGCGCGAAAGCGUGGGGAGCAAACAGGAUUAGAUACCCUGGUAGUCCACGCCGUAAACGAUGAGUGCUAGACGUCGGGGCCCUCAGGGCUUCGGUGUCGCAGCUAACGCAUUAAGCACUCCGCCUGGGGAGUACGGCCGCAAGGUUA